ensembl:lncRNA
CUCUGGGCUCAGGACACUGACCACCCGCAGCUGCCCAUCCUCAUGGGUUACAGUGGAUGGGACAUGGACCUUUGGACAUGCAGAGAAAGCAGGGAUCUGUUCAGCAUUCUGUGGCAGCUUGGUGUUAUUGCCUUGCUAGUGCAUGCCAAAGGAGGUAGGAGUACUUGUGUUGUCCAGUAGAUGCUGUUAUUUUUUGGAUCUUUCUCCACUGCAUUGCACUUGAGACUUAGUGGUGAGGGGUCUGCUGAGAUGAGGUACCCACGCAUCUCCCAGAAUUAAAGCAUGGGAGAUCCAAAAUGAAGAGCAAAUUGGAUUUUAUGGGAUUUCGGCCAAGGAACGCUUCUGAGUACAACAGCCCUCAGCUGUGUGAAGUGUGUGAAAUAGCACUAACAAGGAGAGGAAGAGGGUUUAACCUUUGUUCCAGAAGCCAUAAAUCACCAUCCAGAGGGUGAAAAAUGAGUAGCAACUCUAUUGCUAUAAAAUCUAUGUGCUAUGCUAGGCUGAGGAAGCAGCAACAUUGUAGGUAGCAAAUUUCCAGAGCCCAAAAGGAGCUCAAUUGCUUUCCAAAGGCAUUAAAGUGUCCCCAAAGCCUCUUUGGACACUUUGGUGAGCCACUUGACUUUUGUCCCUCAGGUUUUCCCCACUAUGUCCCUAUUGCUGCAAGCACAGAGGAGGGCAGAGGCUUCAGCCCAGAUCCUCCACUUAUUCAGAGGUUUCUCUCCUCAUUUCUUAGCCAUAGGAUCAUGCUGUUGGCUUGGCUGUUUCUAGCUCUGCUGCAUUUACAUGGGGUCUGGGAGGGGAGAGGAGAGGAGAUACCAUCCAAGGAUAGAUGGUGUCUUAAUUUCAGGAGAGGUUCCACAGGGGUGAAAAGAACUUCACUUUGUAAACCACUGAAGGCUGGAAAAGGAAGGAAAGGACAUGCUUUUUUAGGGUUGUUGCCUGAGACGUGGAUGAGAUAUUGCAAUGCUUUGUAAAUGGUUCACUUCUGGGUAAGGUGACAGCACAAGAACCAACCUGGUGCAUCCUGGGGACUCUGCAUCACCCGGGCUCCUCAUCUCUCAUCUGCACUGAUUUAAUGAUGACUUUGUUCUUCUAGGAAGACACUUGUGCCAGUACCUCCCCAUGCAUUUCAUGUUUUAUUAGUCUGGGCACGUGCAUACUUUUUUUUUUUUUAAAUCCGUGUCCUACAUGUUUUAAAACCUGAAAGGGAAAGACUUCUUGGCUUUACAGGUUUGGAUAUGUUCCUCUGGAUUUAGGACCGUAUCUCGUAACAAAAACAAAAUACUGGAGUCCAAUCUGUCAAAUUAAAGCAAAGAUUUACCAAAGGAA